CAAUAGCGUAUAUUAAAGUUGUUGCAGUUAAAAAGCUCGUAGUUGGAUUUCUAGAUAAGUGGGUACUUGUACUUUGCUUGUCUACCAGUCUUAGACUGUUACUGUGAGAAAAUUAGAGUGUUUCAAGCAGGCUGUUGCAGGAAUACAUUAGCAUGGAAUAACGAAUGUGUCUGGAAUAUUGGUUAAUUCUAGAUUACGAUUAAUAGGGACAGUUGGGGGCAUUAGUAUUUAUUAGCUAGAGGUGGAAUUCUCUAAUUUGAUAAAGACUAACUUAUGCGAAAGCAUUUGCCAAGGAUGUUUUCAUUAAUCAAGAACGAAAGUUAGGGGAUCAAAGACGAUUAGAUACCGU
rnacentral:rRNA from 1 species